UUGGUAUCUGGCUUAAUUGCUUUAUGUUGAUUCAUGAAAUCAGCCACUGUGGACCACAAAUCGUUGUUUAUACGGACAAAGCUAUUAUCCUUGCAAAUUCUAAUCUCAGUAGUAUUCGUUGCUUUCUCGUAAUGUAUAAUUCGUGCCAAAGGACCUGUUAAAAUUCCAAGUAUAGAAUAUCUCCCAGGUUUUUUCGCUGAAUCUAAAAAGCAAAUUGGAUUCCCGCUUUUUUGAAUACAAUCAGCUAACGCUAGUGGUUCAACCCAAGGGAUUUCAACACUGUGAAUUUGAAGAGAGGGAGAACCACUUUUAAGAAUGAAUGCAGCCGGAGAAAUAUCAUACCGAUUAAGAUUAUGCGAGAA